UACGAAGGGUGCAAGCGUUACUCGGAAUUACUGGGCGUAAAGCGUGCGCAGGCGGUUUGCUAAGACAGGUGUGAAAUCCCCGGGCUUAACCUGGGAACUGCGCUUGUUACUGGCAAGCUAGAGUGUGGCAGAGGGGGGUGGAAUUCCAGGUGUAGCAGUGAAAUGCGUAGAGAUCUGGAGGAACACCGAUGGCGAAGGCAGCCCCCUGGGCUAACACUGACGCUCAUGCACGAAAGCGUGGGGAGCAAACAGG
rnacentral:rRNA from 1 species